GACUCCGGUGGUGGCACUCCGGACUUUGUCUGGACAGGGUUCAAGUCCCUGCGGUGUC
rnacentral:snRNA from 1 species